AAGACUAUAGACCUGCGGAGUACCUGCGGAGGGAUCAUUAUAGAGUGGUAAACCCCCCGUAAAAGGGGGGGACCUCCUGUCCUUUGUAGGCUCUUUUUUAAAAGGGCUUUUUUUAAUUUUCUGCUUCGGUGGGGUUAUCCCACCGGAACAACCUCAAAACUCUUAUCAAAAAAUCGUUCUGUCUGAGAACCUUUUAUAAUAAAAAAAAACUUUUAGCAAUGGAUCUCUAGAUCGGAAGAG
rnacentral:misc_RNA from 1 species